rnacentral:rRNA from 1 species
CCUACGGGGGGCAGCAGUCGAGAAUCUUUCACAAUGGGGGCAACCCUGAUGGAGCGACGCCGCGUGGAGGAUAAGGUCUUCGGAUUGUAAACUCCUGUCAUGCGAGAACAAGGUUGCAGGGCUAACACCUUUGCAAAUUGAUGGUACCGCAAGAGGAAGAGACGGCUAACUCUGUGCCAGCAGCCGCGGUAAUACAGAGGUGGAAAGCGUUGUUCGGAAUCACUGGGCGGAAAGGGUGUGAGUCUGAUGUGAACGCCCGGGGCUCAACCUCGGAAUUGCAUCCGAUACUGCCAUGCUGGAGUACUGAAGAGGUGACUAGAAUUCUAGGUGUAGCAGUGAAAUGCGUAGAUAUCUAGAGGAAUACCAACGGCGAAGGCAGGUCACUGGGCAGUUACUGACACUGAGGCACGAAGGCCAGGGGAGCAAACGGGAUUAGAUACCCCUGUAGUC